AUUGAACGCUGGCGGCAGGCCUAACACAUGCAAGUCGAGCGGAGCGGCGGACGGGUGAGUAAUCCCUAGGAAUCUGCCUGGUAGUGGGGGUAACAGUUCGGAAACGGACCUUAAUACCGCAUACUAUCAGAUGAGCCUAGGCCGGAUUAGCUAGUUGGUGGGGUAAUGGCUCACCAAGGGUACGAUCCGUAACUGGUCUGAGAGGAUGAUCAGUCACACUGGAACUGAGACACGGUCCAGACGCCUACGGGAGGCAGCAGUGGGGAAUAUUGGACAAUGGGCGAAAGCCUGAUCCAGCCAUGCCGCGUGUGUGAAGAAGGUCUUCGGAUUGUAAAGCACUUUAAGUUGGGAGGCGUUACCGACAGAAUAAGCACCGGCUAACUCUGUGCCAGCAGCCGCGGUAAUAC
rnacentral:rRNA from 1 species